rnacentral:tRNA from 1 species
CCCAGUCUCCCAAACUGGAG